rnacentral:lncRNA from 1 species
CUCUCUCUCUCUCUCUCUCCUCAAAUUUGUUCGUGAUGGUCAGGCAAGUAAAUGGAUCUGAUGCAAGGGCAUAAUUGGUUUCGAUAGUUGGGGAAGGCAUGGGGUCCAAAUUUGGAAUUGGUAUGAUAGGCAAAGGGUUUAGUUGGUCUGAAGUGGUGGAGGAAGUGGCUGUGAAUCUAUGAUGGUUGGAUUUUUUUUUUUUUAUUUUCUUUUUUAGUCAGAGCUGCUGAGCCUGAGAGAGAUGAAGCUUUUGUGAUUACUGUGUACAUGCUUUAAAAUUUGAAAUUGUGUUGUUUUUUCUUCUUGUUUUUUUUUUUUUAAUAAAUUGAGUGGGAAGAGGGAGGAUUUCUUAGAAAU